rnacentral:lncRNA from 1 species
GUUUUUAGUCGCGGCUACAUUGCCGAAUAUCCCACAACCGAUAUAUACCAUUAAUCCGAGAUAAUGUUUCAAUGUUGCCAUUUUUGUGAGGACGCGUUCGAUAUUUUCGUUGAGAGCAAUGUGAAGUGGGUGUAUUUCGCGUGAAAAAUGGAAACACUGUAUUUAAUUGAAGUGGAGAUGUCGGUGCUGCAGAUAAGAGGAUGAGCUCUUCAGAGCGGAAUCGCGGGUGUGUGUAUUAGAAUAGGUUCGUGUCGUGCUCGCCUUGGCGAGGAUCGCUGUUCGUGUGAUGCAACCGAGAUUUUAGUGGGAUUAGCUAAAGGUACCAUUGUGCCGCCGCGGGUGUCUUAUUCUACGAUGAACUUUCAAAAUGAUGGGCGAUGGUCCCUUGGCAUUGGCAUGGGUCUGUUCCUUCUGGCGAUCACAAUCAGCUCCCUGUUGGUAAUUAGUGUGUGCCAACAAAACGCUUACGUUUGGCUGGGAAUUAUAAUGGUGUCAAUCAUAUUUCUCACAACAUUCACUUGCACGACGCAAGUCCCUAUCCUCUGGGCCCAGGAAACAGAUUCGCGCGAAAAUUCUGUUGUAGAGGGUGAUCCUGCACAUAAUUUAUCACCGUAUUGGAUUCGAGUGACAGAUUUACCACCCAGUUACUCAGUGGCAACUUCUCACCAUGUGAUGGCCUUCAGAGGAGAGAACAUUGAGCCACCUCCCUACUCAACCGUGAUUCUUCAAACACCAAACGUAACUUACGGCCACAGCAACCCUGUUUUCAACUAUAACGAGCCAGAUGUUGCUAGUUUACAACAGGUGACCGCGCACAGGCCACCUGCAGAGAAAAGCUGUGCAAACCAGCCAUAUUUGUGUGAAAGGUGUCAUCAUGAGACAAAUUCAGUCCCUCAAAGAAAGACUGAGAAAACUUCUGACGAUGACAGGACAUUGACCUCAGAGUCUCAGCCAUCAGAUAGACUUUCCGAAAAUCAAAACAACAAUCAUAGUCAAGCGAAUGAAGUUCUACCCCCUGAUAGACCAACUGACCCGGCAGUUUUGCUAUCAAAAGAAACACAUCCUCAGUCGCAAAAUAUUCAAGAGUAA